rnacentral:rRNA from 1 species
GACAGAGGGUGCAAACGUUGCUCGGAAUCACUGGGCGUAAAGGGCGCGUAGGCGGCCUUCUAAGUCGAACGUGAAAUCCCCCGGGCUCAACCCGGGAACUGCGUCCGAUACUGGAAGGCUUGAAUCCGGGAGAGGGAUGCGGAAUUCCAGGUGUAGCGGUGAAAUGCGUAGAUAUCUGGAGGAACACCGGUGGCGAAGGCGGCAUCCUGGACCGGUAUUGACGCUGAUGCGCGAAA